rnacentral:rRNA from 1 species
CUGCUAAGACUGGAUAGGAAACAAAAAGGCAUCUUUUUGUUUUUAAAAGACCUUCUUAUGAAGGUAUGCUUAAAGAGGGGCUUGCGCCACAUUAGUUAGUUGGUAGGGUAAAAGCCUACCAAGACGAUGAUGUGUAGCUGGACUGAGAGGUUGAACAGCCACAUUGGGACUGAGACACGGCCCAAACUCCUACGGGAGGCAGCAGUAGGGAAUUUUCGGCAAUGGAGGAAACUCUGACCGAGCAACGCCGCGUGAACGAUGAAGUAUUUCGGUAUGUAAAGUUCUUUUAUUGAAGAAGAAAAAGUAGUGGAAAAACUAUAUUGACGUUAUUCAAUGAAUAAGCCCCGGCUAACUAUGUGCCAGCAGCCGCGGUAAGACAUAGGGGGCGAGCGUUAUCCGGAAUUAUUGGGCGUAAAGGGUGCGUAGGCUGUUAGAUAAGUCUAUAAUUUAAUUUCAGUGCUUAACGCUGUCUUGUUAUAGAAACUGUCUUGACUAGAGUGAGAUAGAGGCAAGCGGAAUUCCAUGUGUAGCGGUAAAAUGUGUAAAUAUAUGGAGGAACACCAGAAGCGUAGGCGGCUUGCUGGGUCUUUACUGACGCUGAGGCACGAAAGCGUGGGUAGCAAACAGGAUUAGAUACCCUGGUAGUCCACGCCGUAAACGAUGAGUACUAAGUGUCGGGGUAAAACUCGGUACUGAAGUUAACACAUUAAGUACUCCGCCUGAGUAGUACGUACGCAAGUAUGAAACUUAAAGGAAUUGACGGGACUCCGCACANGCGGUGGAUCAUGUUGUUUAAUUCGAAGAUACACGAAAAAUCUUACCAGGUCUUGACAUACUCUGCAAAGCUAUAGAAAUAUAGUGGAGGUUAUCAGGGAUACAGGUGGUGCAUGGUUGUCGUCAGUUCGUGUCGUGAGAUGUUAGGUUAAGUCCUAAAACGAGCGCAACCCUUGUCGUUAAUUGCCAGCACGUAAUGGUGGGGACUUUAGCGAGACUGCCAAUUAAACAUUGGAGGAAGGUGAGGAUUACGUCAAAUCAUCAUGCCCCUUAUGAUCUGGGCUACAAACGUGAUACAAUGGCUGUGACAAAGAGUAGCUGAAACGCGAGUUUUUAGCCAAUCUCAAAAAAGCAGUCUCAGUUCGGAUUGAAGUCUGUAACUCGACUUCAUGAAGUUGGAAUCGCUAGUAAUCGCGAAUCAGCAUGUCGCGGUGAAUACGUUCUCGGGGUUUGUACACACCGCCCGUCAAA